UGAAUACGAGAUGCUAGGGCGUCGAAGCAGUCUAUGUCAUACUUCCAAGAAAAGCUUGCACUGUCAUAAACAAAUAAUGCCUGUACCAUAACCGACACAGGUGGGUAGGUAGAGUAUACUAAGGGGCGCGAGAUAACUCUCUCUAAGGAACUCGGCAAAAUGACUCCGUAACUUCGGGAGAAGGAGUGCCUUAUUUAUAAGGUUGCAAUAACAAGAUCCAAGCAACUGUUUACCAAAAACACAGGUCUCCGCUAAGUCGUAAGACGAUGUAUGGGGGCUGACGCCUGCCCAGUGCCAGAAGGUUAAAGAAGUUGGUUAGCAUCCGCGAAGCUGAUAACUGAAGCCCUGGUGAACGGCGGCCGUAACUAUAACGGUCCUAAGGUAGCGAAAUUCCUUGUCGGGUAAGUUCCGACCCGCACGAAAGGCGUAAUGAUUUGGAUACUGUCUCGGAGAGGGGCUCGGUGAAAUAGACUUGUCUGUGAAGAUGCGGACUACCUGCACCAGGACAGAAAGACCCUAUGAAGCUUUACUGUAACCUGAAAUUGAAAUUGGACUUUACUUGCGCAGUAUAGGUGGGAGGCGUUGAGAAUAUUCUUGCGGGAUUAUUGGAGCCAUCAGUGAGAUACCACUCUUGUAAUGUUAGAUUUCUAACUUUGUAUCAUUAUCUGGUCAAAGAACAGUUUCAGGCGGGCAGUUUGACUGGGGCGGUCGCCUCCUAAACGGUAACGGAGGCGCACAAAGGUUUCCUCUGAACGGGUAGAAAUCGUAUCUAGAGUGUAAAGGCAUAAGGAAGCUUGACUGUGAGACCUACAAGUCGAGCAGGGACGAAAGUCGGUCUUAGUGAUCUGACGGUGCUGAGUGGAAAGGCCGUCACUCAACGGAUAAAAGUUACUCUAAGGAUAACAGGCUGAUCUCCCCCAAGAGUUCACAUCGACGGGGAGGUUUGGCACCUCGAUGUCGGCUCAUCGCUUCCUGGGGCGGUAGUACGUCCCAAGGGUUGGGCUGUUCGCCCAUGAAAGCGGUACGCGAGCUGGGUUCAGAACGUCGUGAGACAGUUCGGUCCAUAUCCGGUGUAGGCGUUAGAAUAUUGAGAGGAGCCUUCUUUAGUACGAGAGGACCGAGAAGGACAUACCUCUGGUGUACCAGUUAUCGUGCCAACGGUAAACGCUGGGUAGCUAUGUGUGGAGUGGAUAACCGCUGAAAGCAUCUAAGUGGGAAGCCCACCUCAAGAUAAGUAUUCUC
rnacentral:rRNA from 1 species